CAGCACGGGUGCUUGCACCUGGUGGCGAGUGGCGAACGGUGAGUAAUAUAUCGGAACGUACUUAUCGGUGGGGAAUAACGCAGACGAAAGCUGCGCUAAUACCGCAUACCGCCUGGAAGGGGAAGCGGGGACCGUAAGGCCUCGCGCGAUUAGAGCGGCCGAUAUCUGAUUAGCUUGUUGGUGGGGUAAAAGCCCACCAAGGCGACGAUCAGUAGCUGGUCUGAGAGGACGAUCAGCCACACUGGGACUGAGACACGGCCCAGACUCC
rnacentral:rRNA from 1 species